AAUCCCGUGAACCAUCGAGUCUUUGAACGCAAGUUGCGCCCGAAGCCUCCGGGCCGAGGGCACGCCUGCCUGGGCGUCACGCAUCGCGUCGCCCCCCGCCCCCGCGGGGAGCGCGGAGAAUGGCCUCCCGUGCGCCNCGGCGCGCGGCCGGCCC
rnacentral:rRNA from 1 species